rnacentral:rRNA from 1 species
UACGGAGGGGGUUAGCGUUGUUCGGAAUUACUGGGCGUAAAGCGCACGUAGGCGGAUUGGAAAGUUGGGGGUGAAAUCCCGGGGCUCAACCCCGGAACUGCCUCCAAAACUUCCAGUCUUGAGGUCGAGAGAGGUGAGUGGAAUUCCGAGUGUAGAGGUGAAAUUCGUAGAUAUUCGGAGGAACACCAGUGGCGAAGGCGGCUCACUGGCUCGAUACUGACGCUGAGGUGCGAAAGCGUGGGGAGCAAACAGG